rnacentral:rRNA from 1 species
UACGUAGGGUGCAAGCGUUUAUCCGGAAUAUUGGGCGUAAAGAGCUCGUAGGCGGUUUGUCGCGUCUGCUGUGAAAACUGGGGGCUCAACCCCCCAGCCUGCAGUGGGUACGGGCAGACUAGAGUGCGGUAGGGGAGAUUGGAAUUCCUGGUGUAGCGGUGGAAUGCGCAGAUAUCAGGAGGAACACCGAUGGCGAAGGCAGAUCUCUGGGCCGUAACUGACGCUGAGGAGCGAAAGCAUGGGGAGCGAACAGG